AGCCAUUACCCUGUUCCCUUUUGACGGCUGGCAACGAACGAAGACGGCGCCGCCCCUCAUGGCGGCAGUGGUGAACCGGAACUACGGAAGCAUCGCCCCUCCCUUUACUCGUUCUUCCGACGAUGGUGACUAGAUUAGAUGAAGAGGACGAUGAUUCAAGGAGCCGACGGCCGGAGACGCCGCUCACGGCGGCGGUGGCGGUGUUUUCUUCUUCCUCGAUGAUGAUUAUGGAGCUGUGUAGAUGACGAUUCAGCAGUAAGUCCUGAACGGGUUCAGACCUUGUUCAGACUCGGGUUCGAGUUUGGUUCGGGUCAGCCUUGGGCGUAAGUCCGGUUCAAACUGGUUGCAGUCAAUAGUUCGGUGUUGCUCGAUACAGCUUUGGACGGACGUUGCAAUCGGAUGGAGUGCGUGGUUCGUAAAGAAUCCGGGUCAUCUAGUGGACAAGCCGGGGGUGAUACACGUUUAAAGGGUGCGCUUUGAAGGUACGACUCGUGGUCAUGGAUGUUGAUCAAGCAAUGGGGUGCAAGAACUGAACACACAUUUUGAAUGCUUCCGCGAUUAUCUAUUCAAGCUAGAUGUUGAUGUUGUUUUUGAAACAUUGUUAAAUACUAUGUU
rnacentral:lncRNA from 1 species